rnacentral:lncRNA from 1 species
CUACCGUCUGGUUCUUUCCUCGGCAUUAAACUGUAUAUGUCGUUUACCUAUGUGUAGGAGUUCAUCAGCAAUCACAAGGAACCGGCUUCGGUUUCAGGGGGAUAUGCUAGAGUGGAUACUGGUUAUGUACCUGCGUACCCUCCUCAGCUGAGCAACCUUCAAGAGUCGCUCGCGAGCAGCUACAUGGGCACAGAGACGGGGCAGUACAGACCAACAGCAUACUCUCAGCUUGCUGGUCCGUCAAAUAGCAGCUUUCGUAAAAAUCAUUAAAAAAAACAACCUUUUGAUGAAAAAAUCUGCAAGAAUACUUAUACAUCAACAAAAAAUUCUAGUUAUCCUAAUUUCUAAUACACAAUCCCAAAUCUACAAUAGUUCUCUAUAAAAAAGAAAACUUCCGAAAAAUAGGAGGUUUUUCAUAAAUUAUUUAAAAAAUGCAACCUAUUGAUGAAAAAUUCUGAAUGUAUACUCAUCUAUUAACAAAAAUUCUUGUUAUACUAUUCUCUGAGUCACAAUCCCAAAUCUACAAUAGUCCUGUAUAAAAAUGAAAACUUUCCAAAAAUAGCACCUUUCGUAAAAAUUAUUAAAAAAAAACAACCUUUUGAUGAAAAAAUUUAAAAGAAUAUUUAUAUUUCAACAAAAAUUCUAGUUAUCCUAAUUUCUAAUACACAAUCCCAAAUCUACAUUAGUUCUCUAUAAAAACGAAAACUUCCGAAAAAUAGGAGGUUUUUCAAAAAUUAUUUAAAAAAUACAACCUGUUGAUGAAAAAAUCUGAUUGAAAACUCAUCUAUUAACAAAAAUUCUUGUUAUACUAAUCUCUAAGUCACAAUCCCAAAUCUACAAUAGUCCUCUAUAAACAAUCUUUUAAUGAAAAAUUCUGGAAGAAUACUCAUAUUUCAAAAAAAUCUUGUUAUUUUAAUUUCUCAGUCACAAUCUCAAAUAUACAAUAGUUAUCUAUACAAAUGAAAACUUUACAAAAAUCGUAGCUUUUAUAAAAAUUAUUUAAAAAAUGCAACAUAUUGAAGAAAAAAAUCUGAAAGAAUGCUUAUAUAUCAACAAAAAUACUUGUUAUCCUAAUUUCAAAGUCACAAUCCCAAAUCUACAAUUGAUCUCUAUUGAAAUUAAAACUUUCCAGAAAUAGCAGGUUAUUAAAAAAUUAUUUUAAAAUUGCUACCUAUUGAUGAAAAAUUCUCAAAGAAUAUUCAUCUAUCAACAAAAAUUCUAGUUAUCCUAUUUUCUAAGUCAAAAUCCCAAAUCUACAAUAGUUCUCUUUAGAAAUGAAAACUUGCCACAAAUAGUAGUUCUUUGAAAGAAUACUCAUUUAUCAAAACAAAAUUCUUGUUAUCCUUAUUUCUAAGUCACAAUCCCAAAUCUACAAUAAUUCUCAAUAAAAAUGAAAACUUUCCAAAAAUAGGAGAUUUUUGAAAAAUUAUUUAAAAAAUGCAACCUAUUGAUUAAAUAUUCUUUAACAAUACGCAUAAUCCCAAAUCUACAAUAGUUCUCUAUUGAAAUGAUAACUUUUCAAAAUUAUUUUAAAAAUGCAACGUAUCGAUGAAAAGUUUUGAAAGAAUACUCAUCUAUUAACAAAAAUUCUUGUUACACUAAUUUCUAAGUCACAAUCCAAAAUCUACAAUAGUUCUCUCUAGAACAAAAAACUUUCCAAAAAUAGCAGCUUUCGUAAAUAUUAUUGAAAAAAAUGCAACCUUUUGAUGAAAAAUCCGAAAAUACUCAUCUAUCAACAAAAAUUCUUGUUAUCCUUAUUUAUAAGUCACAAUCCCAAAUCUAAAAUUGUUUUCUAUAGAAAUGAAAACUUUCCAAAAAUAGUAGGUUUCUAAUUUUUUUUUUAAAUGCAACCUAUUAAUGAAUAAUUCUGAAAGAAUAUCCAUCUAUCAAAAACAUACUUGUUAUUUUAAUUUCUAAGUCACAAUCUCAAAUUUACAAUAGUUCUUUAUACAAAUGAAAGCUUUCCAAAAAUAUCAGCUUUUGUAAAAAUUAUUUAAAAAAUACAACCUUUUGAUGAAAAUUUCUGAAAAAUACUCAUAUAUCAACAAAAAUUCUAGUUGUCCUAAUUUCUAAGUCACAAUCCCAAAUCUACAAUAGUUCUCUAUAUAAAUGAAAACUUUCCACAAAUUGCAGUUCUCUGAAAGAAUACUCAUCUAUGAAAACAAAUUUUUGUUAUCCUUAUUUCUAAGUCAAAGUCCCAAAUCUGCAAUAUUUUCUUAUAAAAAUUAAAACUUUCCAAAAAUAGGAGGUUUUUACAAAUUAUUUAAUAAAUGCAACCUAUCAAUGAAAAAUUCUGAAGGAAUACUCAUCUAUUAACAAAAAUUUUUGUUAUACUAAUUUCUAAGUCACAAUUCCAAAUCUACAAUAGUUCUGUAUAGAAAUGAAAACUUUCCAAAAAUAGUAGUUUUUCUAAAAAUUAUUGAAAAAUGUAACCUAUUGAUGAAAAAUUCUGAAAGAAUAUUCAUCUAUCAAAACAAAUUAUUGUUACCCUUAUUUCUAAGUCACAAUCCCAAAUCUACAAAGUUCUCAAUAAAAAUGAAAACUUUCCAAAAAUAUGAGGUUUUUAAAAAAUUAUUUGAAAAAUGCAACAUAUCGAUAAAAAUUCUGAAAGUAUACUCAUCUAUUAACAAAAAUUCUUGUUAUACUAAUUUAUAAAUCACAAUCCAAAAUCAACAAUAGUUCUCUAUAGAAAUAAAAACUUUUCCAAAAAUAGCCGCUUUCGUAAAAAGUAUUGAAAAAAGGCAACCUUUUGAUGAAAAAUUCCGAAAGAAUACUCAUCUAUCAACAAAAAUUCUUUUUAUCCUUGUUUCUAAGUCACAAUCUCAAAUCUACAAUAGGACUAUCAUUGUGAAGCAGAAUUCACCAAGUGUUGGAUUGUUCACCCACCAAUAGGGAACGUGAGCUGGGUUUAGACCGUCGUGAAAUAUGUUAGUUUUACCCUAUUGAUGCCCGCGUCACAAUAUUAAUUCAACCUAGUACGAGAGGAACCGUUGAUUCGCACAAUUGGUCAUCGCGCUUGCCCAAUAUCAACAAAGAAUUGAAACGACAUCGUAUAUAAAUGGCUUUUUGAAAAAAUACUCGUCUAUCGGAAGAUGUUAUAAGUUUAGGGUUUAACUGGUGACCAUUAUAGGAACAUUAGGAAUGAUUAGGAAAAAAAUGCAGAGGAAUAAAAUUAGAGGAAUGAAAGGAACAAAUUUGUUCUAUAUUCCUCUAGAAUAAAAUGAAUGAAAAGGAAAAACUAUUCAUUGUAAACGGUAAAAAAGUUUUGGAAUAGUAAGGAAUGCAUUAUUCCUUUUCAUUCUUUGGUCAACAGUUAGACCAUAAAUAUUCGUCCGACUGGUGACCAUUCUGGAAACAAGAGGAACGAAUAGAAAAUGAACGUAAAGAAAUAAAAUUGGAGGAAUGAAAAAAAAUGGUUGUUCCAUCCCAUAUUUAAAAAGGAAUAACUUUGUUCUUUAUUUCUUUACAAAAAAAGAAUGAUAGGAAAUUAGAAAGAAAAAUUAUUCGUAAUGAAUGGUGAUUUUUUUAUGAAUGCUAGGGAAAGCAUUAUUCCUCGUUGUGAGCGUUCAUGAAUAUGGCUUUUGGUCGGAAGAAAAAAGAAUAUAGCUCAUGGGCUAAAAGAAGCCCAAUUUAAUAUCAUUACGGGCCUAAUCUACAUAACAUGCCCAAAGGCCUAAACAUCUGAGUUGAAACGACAUCGUAUAUAAUCAAAGGUCAAAUCAUCUUCUCCUUCUCGCUCGCUCGCUAUCCCCUUUUUUUUAAUUUGUUCCGAUUCUAAUGGCCGCCGUCGCAGAUUCCGCCGAGAACGGUGCUACAAACUUCCCCGAGAAUGAAAACCUCACACCUUCGGGAGUCACUGCCUCCUCAUUGCUCAACGAAGCCUCCGGCGCCUUCCCCGAAUCGAAUCAGCCGGAUACCCUAACUGCCGAGACUGCCCCCGAUGCGAACGAUUCCGCGGCGGAGAGAUGGCCAGGAUGGCCUGGGGAUUGCGUGUUUCGUGUGAUCGUUCCUGUAUCUAAGGUCGGAGCUAUAAUCGGACGCAAAGGAGAUAUCAUCAGAAAGAUGUGCGAGGAGACUCGCGCUCGCAUCAAAGUCCUCGACGGUCCCACCACAACUCCUGAUCGCAUUGUUAGUAUCUCUCCUUUAUCGUUCCGAAUUGGGUUUUUCUAAAGGUUGUAACUUUCUUAAACCUAAUUAGAGAAAAUUAGGGUUUUUGUUAGCAUCAGUAUUCAGAUUCAUGGGGGUAUGAUCAUUGCGAUGCUCUUUCUAGUGAAAGUUGCAAGCUUUCUGUGUUUGAUUGUAGUUUGAAGUGUCCACUUGAGUUAUUCCGUUUAAGUCGAAGUUUCAGUUUUGAUUGCUUUAUGGGUUUGAUUGUAGUUUUAAGUGUCCUUUGUUAUGUUUAGGUGAUGAUAUCUGCAAAGGAAGAACCAGAGGCAUACAUGUCCCCUGCGAUGGAGGCAGUUGUAAGGGUGUUCAGAAGAGUUUCGGGGUUGCCUGAUAGUGAUGAUGAUGAGGAUCUUCAGAACGCUGGAGGUGCCUUCUCUUCAGUGCGUUUACUAGUUGCAUCUUCGCAGGCGAUUAAUUUAAUCGGGAAACAAGGGUCCUCUAUUAAAUCUAUAGUAGAGAACUCUGGUGCAUCGGUUCGCAUUUUAUCAGACGGUACUAACAUUAUCUAUGUUUGUUAUUUCUCAGUUAACUGUCAUCUCUGGAGUUGUUAAACCGGAUGAUUAUAAGUACACUGUGUUUUCUUGUUGCCAGAGGACACACCGUUUUAUGCUGCGCAAGAUGAGAGGAUAGUGGAUUUGCAGGGGGAAGCUUUAAAGAUCGUAAAGGCGUUAGAAGGUGUUGUAGGACACCUGAGGAAAUUCCUACUCGACCAUUCUGUGGUUCCUCUCUUCGAGAAACAAGUAAGCUUGAUUCUCUGAAACGACUUCUUCCUUUUUUUCAAUUCUCUCGGAAUAACCUAACUUCUGUGAUUUAUUUUCUUCUCUUUAGUAUCUAGCUAGAGUCUCUCAAGUUCGUCAGGAAGAACCGUUAGCUAACAACAAGUCAGCUCUCCACGCUGCUUUGUCAAAUGCAAUCGAGUCUGAUCUCAUGGCACGGAGGGAAGCUCUGUUUUUGGAGCGGGAUACUCGGGUGGAGUCAUUUGUUCAGCCUUCGGGAGCUUCCAUAUACAGUCAGGAUCCUGCACUCUCCGCCAGACACUCCCCUGGCCUCGCUCGAGUUUCUGCUGCUUUUGUUACACAGGUAGUUAUCACGUUCUUGUUCUUUUUUGGUCUUCUACUAGCGUCUUUGUCUUAUCGCUUCUAAUUUAAUCUCUUGGAACUAGUGAAGAUUUUUCUAUAAUGGGUGUUUCGUACCAGGUAUCUCAGACGAUGCAAAUACCGUUUUCCUAUGCGGAGGAUAUCAUUGGUUUAGAAGGAGCUAAUAUAGCCUUCAUCCGUAGAAGAAGCGGAGCUACCAUUACCAUUCAAGAGAGUCCACAUCCUGAUCAAAUCACAGUGGAAAUCAAAGGGACAUCUUCUCAAGUACAAACUGCUCAGCAACUAAUUCAAGUAAGAACACAUUUCAUCUAUAUAUAUACAUAUGUUACAUGAAAUGGCAUUGUAUAACAAAAUACUAAGAUUACUCUUCCUUUUUACAUGCUACCGUCUGGUUCUUUCCUCGGCAUUAAACUGUAUAUGUCGUUUACCUAUGUGUAGGAGUUCAUCAGCAAUCACAAGGAACCGUCUUCGGUUUCAGGGGGAUAUGCUAGAGUGGAUACUGGUUAUGUACCUGCGUACCCUCCUCAGCUAAGCAACCUUCAAGAGCCGCUCGCGAGCAGCUACAUGGGCACAGAGACGGGGCAGUACAGACCAACAGCAUACUCUCAGCUUGCGGGUCCGUCGGCGUCCACCUACACGCCGUCACUGAAUGGGCAAACUUAUGGAACGGAAUAUAGACCAGCU